rnacentral:pre_miRNA from 1 species
AGUGGAAUAACUGGGUCAAAUGGUGGUUCUAUUCCUAGUUUUUGGAAAAAUCUCCAUACUGCUUUCCAGAAGAAUUACACCAGUUUGCAGUUCCACCAGCAAU